UUGGUCCUGAGCGCUCAUGCUGAACUCGGCUCGGCCCGAGCGGAGCUGCUGCAGACGAGGGACGUCCACCGAGGUCAGCCAGGUCAGAGACUGGAGGUCACCGGGGUCAAACUUACACAGCUCGGACGUGUCCGAGGUGAAAUGCAACGGCGGUCAUCCAAAGGGCAGAAGAAGAGAAAACGGAGUGUUUUUACCUGUAGUCCUCCUCCGAGUUCUGAUUAUGUCCUGAAUUUGUCAUCAGUCCUGACAUCCUGUCUGUACAGCCAGCGUCAAUCAUUUCCUAACACGAGACACGUCGCAUGUUAAACACACCUUCUGCGUCAUGCUUAAUGAACACAGAAGAGAAAUGAAACAGGGAGAGGGUUCAAACCUGAAAACCUGACUUCCUUUCAGAAACCGAGGGAAAAGAUUCAGAACGUACUGAAACAGAGGAGAAGUGGAGGAACAGAGUGGUACCUGAUAUCUGCUCCUCAGACCUGACCCUCUAACUGAGUGACAACCUGACCAUCACCUUCAGCUGUCAAUGAUACCAUACUGUUACUGUUACUGUUACUACCCCUCACCUGUGAUCAUAUUCACACUGAGCACGAGACACAGCGCUGGGAAUGAGUCGGUUCUCACCUGUUCUGCUGCACUGAAUCAGGAGGAAGUGUGCAGUGAGCUGAGAGAUGCGGCGGUUCAGCUCUCCCGGUCCCUCAAACCGUUUUUUAAAUUUCCCUCUUCAUUCAGCGCUGUACAGGGGCGAGAGAGAGAGAGAGAGGGAGGCUUGCGCAUGCGCGGUGCGCCCUCUGCUGAUCCGGCUGGAGAGCGAGUCGCGCGCAUGCGCAGUGCCGUUGAGGAGCCGAGAGGCGCGUGCGCAGCGCGGAUAAAAAGCAAAGCGCAGCUGCUGCGGCUGUAAUAACUUUUUUUUCUGCCCCCUCUGUGUUAAUUAGGAGAAUUUUCACACAGCUUAAUUAGAUUUGGGUAAAAAUCCGCACUGCUCAGGUUACUUAUUGCUCUCUGUUUCAUUUUCCCUUCACAGUGCUUGGAAUGAGUUCCCGGUUGUGCACGCGCGUCUGUAAAAUCACGUUUAAACAACAAAAACGUUCGCUUUAAACCCUCUGUUCUUCUUCUUCAGAAGUCUAUUUUACUAACCAUUCUUCUGCUGUAGGAACACUCGUAUAGAUAAUCCACGGCAACAUGUAAUAAUAUUAAGAAUAUAUUAAAAAUAUAUAAUAAUAAAACCAAAAUGAGCUCCUGUGAGAGUUUGUUUAUAAAGCGCUCUGUGUCGUAUCCGUGUCGGUGUUGCUGUGUGUGUGUGUGUGUGAGAGAGAGAGAGAGAGGCUUUAACAGGUGUAAAUGCACACAUUGGGCGCCUCUGUAGGGCGCGCGCGCUGCAGCGGGAAACCGGCGCAGAGUGGCGCGCGGUAUUCAGCAGCGCACGAGCCCAUUUCACUGAGACUAAUAUCUGACCACACACACCCUUUCACACUCCAGCGCCUCAACAGCAGAACACUACAGAAAGCCACAGUUCUGAUCAGAGUAAACACUGCGUGUUCUUUAGGACUCGGGGUUGUUCUGUAUUCCUGAAUAAUCGCGCGCGCGGGGGGUGUUUAUUAUAAAUCUCCAGUGUAGAUGAUGAGAUUGGGUCAUGCAGAUUGUUAUUAUUAUUAUUAUUAUUAUUAUUAUUAUUAUUCUACAGGCUUGUGUAAUAGAUGUUAAGCCCAUGUUGUAUACAUGUUGAAACCUGCUGUAUUGUUAAACUCUGUGAGAGUGCAUGUAGAUCUGAUAUGUGUUUCCUCCUGCUGUAAAGAGGGUAGAGAAUAAACCAAAUGCUGCACCGUUUUGACUCCA